rnacentral:rRNA from 1 species
CCUACGGGUGGCAGCAGUGAGGAAUAUUGGUCAAUGGGCGGGAGCCUGAACCAGCCAAGUCGCGUGAGGGACGACGGUCCUAUGGAUUGUAAACCUCUUUUGUCGGGGAACAAAGGCGCCCACGGGUGGGGGGAUGAGUGUACCCGAAGAAAAAGCAUCGGCUAACUCCGUGCCAGCAGCCGCGGUAAUACGGAGGAUGCGAGCGUUAUCCGGAUUUAUUGGGGUUAAAGGGAGCGUAGAUGGGUUGUUAAGUCAGUUGUGAAAGUUUGCGGCUCAACCGUAAAAUUGCAAUUGAUACUGGCAGUCUUGAGUGCAGUUGAGGUAGGCGGAAUGCGUGGUGUAGCGGUGAAAUGCUUAGAUAUCACGAAGAACCCCGAUUGCGAAGGCAGCUUACUAAACUGUGACUGACAUUGAUGCUCGAAAGUGUGGGUAUCAAACAGGAUUAGAUACCCCAGUAGUC